CCCGAAAUUACAAAAUGACUUGCAAUCAGUCGCCACUGACGAAAAAGGAAUCUAUUUCUGUUGGAAAUAGACAUACAUUUGACCCACCGAUGAAAUGAUAUAGAAUAUGCAGUAAUCACCACAGGCUCUUUAAGGGUGGUUCUCCUCCACAUUUGUUUUACCUUUCUGGGAAUUACAGAAAACGACAGAAAGGACUGAUAAUGAAUGUCAAGCAGCAAGUAUUGCAUGUACAACAUGUAUAUUUAUAACAACAAUAACAUGUAAAUGUAAAAGCUAAGAAGAUAUCCUGCAUUGUACUUCUUAUAUUUUCUAAGAGAUAUUUGUGAUGUUACAAGCAUACAGUCUGUGAGUAGACAAUGUAUCCUAUAUGUACUGGUUUCCUAGGUGACCAGUCACUACUCUUACUCUUUUAUGGCUAAACAGUGAAGCAGUAGAAAACAGAUUUAAAGUCGUGGGUAUGACCUGAUAUCACACAUACAUUCUAUUUUACUUUAGGUAAACUUUAAAUUACUGCCUCCAACAUCCUUUAGACUCUGGAGGAUAAGUUACUACAUCUUUUUCCCCCAUUACAUGACACAGCAUCACAAAAACACAAGUUAACCACAACUACAAUGUAUAUGCACUACCUUGACAGAUACCAAAGCUUUCUUUUCUUUCUGUAUCUAUUUUUCAUAAUAAUAAAUAGCCAUCAACUAAUAUAAACACAAUAGAAGUUACCAAAUUUUACAUUGUAUAUCAUCAAAUUUACUGAUAUCUUAAUGGCUAUGAC
rnacentral:lncRNA from 1 species